CAAGGGUACAUGACAUCUGGUAUUCCAAAGGCAAAAUAACAAAAUCAAGAAAAACGUCCAUAAGACCCUCUCCAAGCUAUGGGUAAGAUACUCCCUGCAAUAAGGGCAUAGCAUUGGCCAGGUAAGCAAACUCAAUUGCCAAUACUAGAGCUUCCUACUCACUUCAUUUGCACUCUGCAAUUAAGCACUGGGAUACUGUAUCUUUAACUGGUGGACGGGCAGGGAGAAGAUGGAGAUGCUCCUACUUCAUCCGACUGCUUCUCCUUUUGGCUUCACUGUCAUCCAGCAGUGAAGAGAGGAUCUGGUAGGCGUGCGGCUGCUGGGGUCCUCCACGCUUGAUCUUGAUGCUGCUUCGCAGAGGGGAACCCGGGAUCACGUCUUGUCCGGAGCCUGGCUCAAUGGAAGAUAAAGAGUCGUGAAUUCCUAUCAUGUGCUCUAGAAUCAAGACCCUCUCAGCUAAAAUCUUCAGAGCUUCUCGAAGUUGUUGAACACCUUCCCCAUCAGCACCUUUAUCACCUUCCUCGCCCUUCUUGCCUGGUUCACCAGGAAAUCCCUUAAUGCCCCUCUCUCCAGUCAGACCUGCUUGCCCCCUCUCUCCCCG
rnacentral:lncRNA from 1 species